UACGUAGGGACCAAGCGUUGUUCGGAUUUACUGGGCGUAAAGGGCGCGUAGGCGGCGUGUUAAGUCAGUUGUGAAAUCUCCGAGCUUAACUCGGAAAGGUCAACUGAUACUGUGCGGCUAGAGUGCGGAAGGGGCAACUGGAAUUCUUGGUGUAGCGGUGAAAUGCGUAGAUAUCAAGAGGAACACCUGCGGCGAAGGCGGGUUGCUGGGCCGACACUGACGCUGAGGCGCGAAAGCUAGGGGAGCGAACGGG
rnacentral:rRNA from 1 species